rnacentral:rRNA from 1 species
UAGGGAAUCUUCGGCAAUGGGGGCGAACCCUGACCGAGCAACGCCGCGUGAGUGAAGAAGGUUUUCGGAUCGUAAAGCUCUGUUGUAAGAGAAGAACGUGUGUGAGAGUGGAAAGUUCACACAGUGACGGUAACUUACCAGAAAGCCACGGCUAACUACGUGCCAG